rnacentral:rRNA from 1 species
UGGGGAAUUUUGGACAAUGGGCGAAAGCCUGAUCCAGCCAUGCCGCGUGCAGGAUGAAGGCCUUCGGGUUGUAAACUGCUUUUGUACGGAACGAAAAGACUCUGGUUAAUACCUGGGGUCCAUGACGGUACCGUAAGAAUAAGCACCGGCUAACUACGUGCCAGCAGCCGCGGUAAUACGUAGGGUGCAAGCGUUAAUCGGAAUUACUGGGCGUAAAGCGUGCGCAGGCGGUUAUAUAAAGACAGAUGUGAAAUCCCCGGGCUCAACCUGGGAACUGCAUUUUGUGACUGUAUAGCUAGAGUACGGCAGAGGGGGAUGGAAUUCCGCGUGUAGCAGUGAAAUGCGUAGAUAUGCGGAGGAACACCGAUGGCGAAGGCAAUCCCCUGGGCCUGUACUGACGCUCAUGCACGAAAGCGUGGGGAGCAAACAGGAUUAGACUACCCUGGUAGUCCACGCCCUAAACGAUGCUNAACUGGGCUUGUUGGGUCUUCACUGACUCAGUAACGAAGCU